rnacentral:rRNA from 1 species
UACGGAGGGUGCGAGCGUUGUCCGGAAUCACUGGGCGUAAAGGGCGCGUAGGCGGCCUGAUAAGUAGGGGGUGAAAUCCUGCGGCUUAACCGCAGGGCUGCCUUCUAAACUGUCAGGCUGGAGCACAGUAGAGGCAGGUGGAAUUCCACGUGUAGCAGUGAAAUGCGUAGAUAUGUGGAGGAACACCGAUGGCGAAGGCAGCCUCCUGGGAUAAUACUGACGCUCAUGCACGAAAGCGUGGGGAGCAAACAGG